UUUGUCAGGAAGGUUUCUUAUCUGCUGUUGGGAGCUUGAAAGAGGUGUAAGCCAUGUCAUUCUCUUAUCUCAAGUGCCGGUGGCAUUCAAGCUCUCGUGAAAAGCAAUGAAAGAAAAUUAGCCGAAGAAGAUGAGUCAAUACUGAUGGCCUCAGGAAUCCCUUACACCAUCAUCAGGGCUGGUUUGUUACUAAACUCUCCACGUGGAACUCAAGGCUUUAGCUUUGAAAAGGUUAGUUGAUGCCAAAGUUUUCUCAAUUUUCUUUUUUUCCCCUCCCUGCAGCCAUUAGAGAUCUAACCGAUCAUAUGUGGAUCAAUUAUGCAUAGUUUCUUCAUGUCCUUUGUGAAAUUCAAAUCAGUCUGCUUUCUUUACAUUGCUGUAAUCUAAUAUAUAUACAUGGGGAAAAAUAUGUGUUAUCCACAUUUUGUAGAUAAGGCCUGAAUUUUUAACAAUUAUAAGCAAUCCUAGACGAUGUCUGAAUAGAUCAUUAUGUAAAGUUUACUCAUACGAUACAAAAGUGCAUUGGUCAUAGGAGAUUCUAGGUGUAUUGCAAGGGCUCUUUGUUCAAAUGAAAGAGAAACAGUCCACAGACAAGUAGCUGCUGAAACAGCAGACUUCACAAGAUUCUGCUAAAAAUCUUUUUUCAAAGGUUUGGGGCUGAGGAUGUGACACGAUAACUAUUUUUGUAAAAUUUGAGGUAGAGCCUGCCACUGAAAUUGAGAAGGAUGUUAGUGCUGAGAAGCAGUUGGAAGAGAUGGAUCCAUGACAGAUGGUAUGGAGUGUAUCUUCAACUUAGCAGACAGUUGAGAUGUUGUCGUGGUUUGCUAUUGAAUGAGGUCAUUUUUUGUUUUGUUUUUACUUUAUCUUUCCUACUAAUAUGCUAUUAAUUGGCAAAGAGAUAUUGUUGGAGUCAUAUGCAUUGUUAUGGCGAUGUUUGCUGUUUUCAAUUACAUAACAUAUAUAAUCUAUCUAUGGGUGUGCCAAAUGUGGAUGUGAUUACAUACAGUAUGUCAUUUGGAACUUUUGUCAUGCUGUUCAUUCAGUACCACUGCUAGCUUUAGUGUCUGAUUAUGCUGUACGUAGAUGUGAGGUUAUUAAUUUUUUUUGGAAUUUUGAGUACCUGUAGUAAUGCCUUAAGUUGUCCUUAAGAACAAUUUCUCGGCAAUUUGAUUUAGUUCUGCUGGAUUGGUCAUUAAAUUUGAGCUUCCAUCUUAAGGCCAGUAUCCAGCUAUUUAUGAUUAUACUGUCUAUGAUGCAAUUCUUUUUGAGUUUCUAUAGUUGCAAGUUUCUGUUAUUCUAAAGUAAUACUUGCUAAAUUAUGUGGGAUGAGCAUUCUCUUAGGUCUUAAGGGUCUACAACAAUGGUGCAGAGAGGGAGUGAUUAUUGAAGUAUCUUUUUCGACGCACUGAUUGAGGUUCUUAUCCCCUUGUGAUCUGGAGAACAAGAAACAUUACAAGAACUGCACCCUCCUAUACUCCAAUAGUGUAGGAGAUGGUUUGAAACUUGAACAAAAUCAGGCUAUUUUCGUGAUUCAAGUGCUACUGGACACCUUAUAUGAUUACAUUCAUGUGAUUUUCUCUCAAUUCCUCUCUAUCUCUUGUUCAAUGAUAAUAUCUUUCACAUGAAAUUUGGGCUAUUCAGUUGGACAUUACAAGGCUUAUGAGGAGAAGGAAUAGGUUAACACAUUAUCAGUGAGUUUGGUCACGGCUUUCAUGUUGUUAUAUAGUUUCUCUUUAUAUCUAAAGUCUAAUUUCAGGUCAGGAUUUAACUUUCGAUUCUAUAUCUGCAACAUAUCCAUCGAUCUUUGGUAUUGUUCCUUAAGUGAUCAGAGUGUCAUUUAUACUUUGAUAUUGGAUCUUUUGGGGUUAUAUAGGUGGUGUACGAGUGUUUGAUCAUUUCUUCUUGAAUUGUAUGGCAAGCAGAAUUUGUUAAUUUCUUGUGUUACUGUGGACUUUAUUAUGGUAAAGUAUAUAACUGUAAAAGUAUCAAUCAUACCAGUUUCCUCAUUUUUAUUUGAUUUCCCAUCUGUCUUGACCGGUGUGACCUCGUUAUAUCUGCAAAUGGGAAGACGGAGUAAAUAACUUCUGUUUUGUUGAAUCUCUCUCUACAGAGACAACAGUUGAAAGAUUUGUUCACUUUGUGAGCACUUGAGAGAAUGAGAGGCCUUGGAAGUUGGAAGUUGAACAGGUGUACACUUUAGAAUUCAAAAGUUUAGUUUCAAAAAGUCCUGGAGACACACAAAACUGUGCUGCAGAAAGAGCAAGGCUUUUGCUUGUGGAUUUUGACAUUGACAAUUGCAACAAUUAAUAUCAUUUGCUGAAUACUUUGGGCUUCAUGCUUGAUGAUAUGGAAAAUAUUUUGCUUCAAGUCACUAGUGGGGUAUGAUAAUGUUAAACUUAUCAAUGCUACAUGAAGAUACAAGGAACCACGGAAAUGAAAGCAUGAAACUAGCCAUGGCUUGAAAUUGUAGUGGCUGAAGCAAUGUAUAACCUACCAGACUUCUCUGCCAUGAAUGCAUCUGGCAUAUUGCUUUUGAGGUAUGACAGAAACAAAAUGUGUUGCCGGAAAAUAAUGGAAAAGGAACGAGUGUUACUGCAGGUGAUUCCAAGAACAUGAGAUCAAGGAAUCACGAAAGAGGCUACCCACUCAGGUAAAAGGAAAUCAGGCAUUAUCGGUAUUCUAAACAUUAACUAUAUAUCACCUCAAAUGGGAAAUUCUCAAGCAGCUUCUGACUCGAACUAAUGAGGAAGGUGGAAACUUGCAUGAUGGAAUUCUGGAGACUAUGAACUAUCCUCAAAAAGAAAAACCACAAUCUUGUCUUAUGAGGAUGAUCCUUUUAGUUUCUGGUGAUGGAUAUAGGGGUGAAAAGUAAAGAAGGAAGCACAACAAGUAUCAAUGAGUUUAGUGGAUAUAUGACCUGCCUGUGAAAGUGUAUCCAGAAAGGGAGUUCUUUUUCGAUAAAGGAGUGUACGAUUUCAAUAGCUUUGACGGUGGGGCUAAUAACAGGAGUUCCUGCAUUGGAAUUGUCCAACAAUGCGUAUGCAGCUACCCGAGUGCUGCCUGAUCUGGCUGUACUGAUCUCCAGAUCGCCAAUAAAGGACCCUGGGGCAUUGUUGAGAUAUGCUCUGCCUAUUGAUAACAUUCUAACAAGGCUAUCAGGGAGGUACAAAAGCCACUUGAAGAUAUCACAGAGAGUCUCAAGAUAGCUGGAGUCAAGGCACUAGAUUCAACUGAGAGGAAUUUGAGGCAGGCGUCUCGAGCACUGAAGCAGGGGAAGUCUUUAAUUGUGACUGGAUUAGCUGAAUCGAAGAAGGAUCAUGGUGCUGAAAUGCUUGGCAAGCUGGAAGUAGGAAUGGAUGAGCUCCAACAGAUUGUGGAGG